AGGAUGCUGUGAAAAUAAAUACAUUGAUACCUGUAAAGCACUGGGGUACAACAAUGAUGAAGGUACCGGAAAGACUGUGAAGAAAUCAUUUGAAGAUCUAGAUAGGGUGCCAACCAUAGAGUUGUGGACCACACACUGAGGAGAAAGAGCAUUGCAAAGUCACUCAUUAAAUGUGCACCAUCCAGUCUGCUCUGAAUAAGAACUACCUUGAGGCACUGACCAAAAGCCAGUCUCUAUUCAGCAGGGCACCAUGCAGGUAACGCUGCAGAGCACUGUAUCGUGCCACAACUGAGAUACCAGCUGCACCUCAGCAUCCCUAGCCAACUUCUUUCACCUGCAUAGUUCUGCUCAGUAAAACCUGCCUUGUGGCCCUCUUCAUUCAAAAGGGGCAGUUUUGGAAAUGGAAGCAGCUAAAGGCCAAAAAGCAUCUGAGGGUGCCUGAGAAAACUGUGAAGAAAACAAAAGACUUCUUAAAUAGAGGGUCAUAAAAGCGAUGGCAAUGAGAAUGGAUGUGGUAGCCUCUGAAACAGAAGACUUAUUAAAUGCAAACCAACUAGCAAUCAGGUGUGGGGCUGGCAGACCUCUUAGCAAAAAAAUAAACAAGCUAUUGUUUUCAGUUUUUCCUACUGGGUUAAAACAAUUUAGUAAUACAGAUUGCAAAAUGAUCUGGAUGAUGCUUUGCAUGGUGCUUUAGGGCCAGCGGUAGGGCUGGUUAUCUACCUAGCUGUGGGGGACCCAGCCCCACUUGUUCAGGUGUGGCAGGUUGCAGUCCCCCUGUGCUCAGCUGCAUCUCGCUGUUCAGGGGAGACCAGGGAUGUCUGAGAGCAGAGGGUUUGGUGGGCUGUGGGGGUGAGACAGGAGGCUUGGGGGCCAUUUCCUGCUUCUCUGCAAGGCCUCAGGCAUGUUGCUUUAGAUCAGACUGAAGUGCAGACUGUCUGCUCAUGCAGUCUCUAAACUCCAUGGGUGCUUUACUUCAUCUUAACUAUCUCCAGAUGCUGACAGGUCAGGCUUUGCUCAUUGUUAGAAAUGCCUUGGUCUUCCUGGCCAGUCCACACCUAACUGCUGGGAAGUCAGGAGUUGUGUGUUUUGCUUGGGAAGUCCUUCCAGGGGUCAGCUUGAUAACUGUUGGGGAAACAAAUUCGGGAUCAGGUCCUGGGAGCAGGAUCCACAGCUCAGAACUGUCCUUCCUCCCUAAUGGCCUCAGGUGGGGCUAUAGAGCCACAGAGAUGGAUGUUGUUGGCCUGAGGGUCCUCAAAUGUGUUUUUGUGGAGCGGUGAGAGAAGGGAAAGAGCAGAAGGAUGGUUUACUGCCUAAUAGGAGACAUCUGACUUAGCUCUGAGUUAUGCCUCACUGAGAUACCUGUUACAUAUCCAAACCUGCCUGAGGAAACUCUCCUGAGUGCUACCACGCACCGGGCCAUGAGCCCAGGUGACUCAAUAGAACUGCACUUGUCCAUGGGUCCAGGCUUCCACAAAGUAAGUGUAGGAGGACCACACCAUAGGCUGUCUUGGCUCUUUUCUGGGGCCCAAUGCUUAUUUUACUCAUUUUAGUUCACAGUUAAUUCAAUUUGGAUGACUCUGUGUGUCCCUCUACUAAGGCAGCCUUAGGAUAAUAAAUACAGUUGGGAUUGUAAAGCACAUGGGUACUGUGGAAAGAGGAAGUAGAGAACAGGGAUAUUGCAUACAGAGCCACACAUUUCUGGCCUUUUAUGUCAGAAAACACUACUUCCACCUAACAUUAGACAAUAUAGUUCUCCAAGCAGAUACUUUCCCCUGCAAAAAUGUAAAGCCAUAGAAACAGUCAUCAAAAAUAUAUGGUCCAGACGGAGGUGAAAUUCUUGCCAUUGACAGACAGGAGCAACUCUAAAUGUCUGAGGAGAGGAGUGAAUUGAGAUCCAGACUUUCCUCUGAAAUGUUUGUUGUAUGGGAGAGUCUUUUCUAAAUCCACAGAGCUCAAUUUGUCACUCUUUCAAAGAGAAGAAGCUGGAUUCCAGCAUAUUUUAUCAAUAAAAGAUCAUAUGUAGUCAGCGAUUUUUUUUUUUUUAUUGCUUUACAUCAUCUCUGGGGAAAGUAUUUACCUCAAGAACUAUUUUGCCAGAUGAUGAGUAGUACUUGUACUUAUUUUGGUUGCGUCCAAGCUGUAACUUUGCCUCAUUUGCAUCUACCCACUAAAUGGUUUAAUUAAUUUUG